AGCUCGACCGGAUCCACCGCGCGGGUCACCACCAAGUAGUCACGCAACGCGGUGCUGUGCCGGUUCUC
rfam:Mycobacterium kansasii 824 gmk824.contig.1, whole genome shotgun sequence.